rnacentral:lncRNA from 1 species
CGCCACGGUCAACCGCCCGGCGCUGGUCAACUGCGCUCUGGUCAACUUUUCAGCACUCUGGUCAACUAGUUGACUGGUUGACUUUUCUGGUUGACUGGUUGACUUUUCUGGUUGAUUGGUUGACUUUUCUGCAUUUUGUUUGACUUUUCUGCACUCCAACCAUUUGAUAAUUCAACCAUUCUUUCAAAUCAUUCCAAAAACCUUUAUCAUUGCC